AAUACGUAGGGUGCGAGCGUUGUCCGGAAUUAUUGGGCGUAAAGAGCUUGUAGGCGGUUUGUCGCGUCUGCCGUGAAAAUCCGGGGCUCAACCCCGGACUUGCGGUGGGUACGGGCAGACUAGAGUGUGGUAGGGGAGACUGGAAUUCCUGGUGUAGCGGUGAAAUGCGCAGAUAUCAGGAGGAACACCGAUGGCGAAGGCAGGUCUCUGGGCCACUACUGACGCUGAGAAGCGAAAGCGUGGGGAGCGAACAG
rnacentral:rRNA from 1 species